rnacentral:rRNA from 1 species
ACUCGAGUGGCGAACGGUGAGUAACACGUGGGUGAUCUGCCCUGCACUUCGGGAUAAGCUUGGGAAACUGGGUCUAAUACCGGAUAGGAGCCAUCUUUAGUGUGGUGGUUGGAAAGUUUUUUCGGUGUAGGAUGAGCUCGCGGCCUAUCAGCUUGUUGGUGGGGUAGUGGCUUACCAAGGCUUUGACGGGUAGCCGGCCUGAGAGGGUGACCGGCCACAUUGGGACUGAGAUACGGCCCAG